rfam:Stegodyphus mimosarum contig71121, whole genome shotgun sequence.
GCCUUCGUGGUGUAGUGGUCAGCACGCUGGACGCGUAACCCAGAGGUCAGUGGUUCGAUUCCCGGCGAAGGCG